rnacentral:rRNA from 1 species
UACGUAGGCAGCGAGCGUUGUUCGGAGUUACUGGGCGUAAAGGGUGUGUAGGCGGUUGUUUAAGUUUGGGGUGAAAUCUCCCGGCUCAACUGGGAGGGUGCGCCGAAUACUGAAUGACUUGGAGUGCGGGAGAGGAAAGUGGAAUUCCUGGUGUAGCGGUGAAAUGCGUAGAUAUCUGGAGGAAUACCGGUGGCGAAGGCGGCAUCCUGGACCGACAUUGACGCUGAUGAGCGAAAGCUAGGGGAGCAAACGGG